UCUCAUUCAAGGCAGUUGUGAGCCACCAUGUGGUUGCUGGGAAUUGAACUCAGGGCCUCUGGAGAGCAGUCAGUGCUCUUAACCGCUGAGCCAUCUCUCCAGCCCGGAAAAAGUAUUCUUACACAUUGAGUUUCCGCGAAUCUCAUGGGCCCCGCUACUUCAGAUGGUUGCUGUAGUCUCAGUAAAGGGAGGUUGGAAGCAGUAGGGGCUCUUAAGUUACACACGUAACCAUUCCUAUAUUAGUUUUCUUACUGCUUUGAUGAAACACUUGGCCAAGCAAUGUAAGGAAAGGUUUAUUUGGGCUGACAGUUCCAGGGGGUCAUCCAAGGGUUGUGGGAUAUGUAUACACUGUUUGAGAAACGUAUGGCUGUGAUUGGUGUCAUAAGAAGCCAAACAGCCAAUAACUAGGCAGGAGGUAUAGGCGGGACUUCUGAGCAGAGAGAGAACUCUGGGAAGAAGAAAGGCAGAGUCGCCAGCCAGACUUGGAGAAGGCAGGGUGGGGAGUACGGAGAUGAGGUAAUACCACGGGGAAGAACAUAGAUUAAUAUAAAUAGAUCAAUUUAAGUUAUAAGUACUAGUGGGACCAGCCUAAGCUAAGACCGAGCUUUCAUAAUUAAUUAAAAAAAAAAGUCUCUGUGUUUUUAUUUGUGAACUGACAGCCCAGAGGAAAGUCCAACUACACCCAAGAUGGUGGGGAAGAUGUAGCAGCAAGAGCAUGAUAGAGCCAGGCACAUUGCAUCUAUAGUCAGGUACAUUGUAUCUAUAGUCAGGCACAUUGUAUCUAUAGCCAGGUACAUUGUAUCUAUAUCUAGAUACAUUGUAUCCAUAGCCAGAUACAUUGUAUCUACAUCCAGAAAGCAGAGAACAAUAAAUGCUAAGUGUUUGCUCACUUUCUCCUUUUGAUACAGUCCACAUACAGAGUGAGCCUUCCUACCUCUGUUACCCCAAUCUAGGAAAUUUCUCAUAGGCAGGCCCAGAGACUUGUCUCCAAGACAAUCCUAGAUUGACAAUCAAGAUUAGUUUUCACAAUGUCAAAGACAGCUGGCAGUCUCUGUCAGCAUCACACAUAUUAGAUAGAUCCCUGUGCAGCUUCUACUGUGUGCUGAUUCCAAUCUAAAGGGGGUCCAUGUGGAUUAACCUAAUAUUGAUGAAGGGGGAACAAUAAAAUAAGGUGACAAGUAUGACUGCCAGCACCAUCGAUCAAACGUGAAAUCAGGUUUACCUUUGAAGUCAGAACAUUGAAAAUAAAGCCGAGGCGGGACUAGGUGCCCGAGAAUCCCACAAGUGUAGCAUGUCCAUCUAGUCUGUCUUGCCUAGUCCACAUGAAUCUUCACCACUUAAGGACAUGGCACCGGGUACAGGUCUCCGGCUGACAACAGACAGUGGCUUGGGGCAUGUCCUGAAAGGAAGUUGUCAACCACUGAUGUGCUCUGGUGAUGAUGGUGCUGACCCCAAGAGGGUGUGGUCCAUUCAGUAGAAGUUUAGAAAAUCUGAACUGGUUUACAGUGACAAAAACCAGGCCACCGGUCUGAUCACGGACAGGUGGGAGGAGGGAGCUUGAGGAUUUCAGGAGGAAGUUCCAUCUUCUCUGUGUUGCUUUCUGUCACUAUGACCAAUACCUGAGAUAAUCAACUUAUAAGGAGAGGUUUGUUUGGGGUCCCAGGUUUGGAGGCCCAUGGUUGGACAGCUAGGCUGAUUUGGGCUUAGGGCAAGGCAGCACAUCAUGUUGGGUUUUAUGGCAGAGCAAACCACUAAGCUCUUCCCAAGCCUGGGAGCAAAAACAGGAGGAAGGAGCUAGGUCCCACAGCCACCAUCAAGGGCAUGUCCCCAACCCCAUCCCCUCUAUUAGGUCCUACCUGUUAUUCCUCAUGGUGGUUCUACUGGGGAACCAAACCUUCCACAGAUGGGACACAAGGGAUAUCCAGAUCCUCAGGAUGUAUUGUGGGGAUGGCUUAUGGACGAUGCAUGUACAUUCUCUCCCUGGAGAGACUCUCUUGGUCACCAAUGCUGCAGGCAUGUGUGGGGAAAAACUGUAAUAUCUUUAGGAACAACUUCCGAGCCCCUCUGUUUUUUUGUUUUUUUGUUUUUUUGUUUUUAGAUUUUAUUUAUUUAUUUAUUAUACAUUCUGCUUCCAUGUAUAUCUGCACACCAGAAGAGGGCACCAGAUCUCAUUACAGAUGGUCAUGAGCCACCAUGUGGUUGCUGGGAAUUGAACUCAGGACCUCUGGGAAGAGCUGCUAGUGUUCUCAACCUCUGAGCCAUCUCUCCAGCCCCGACUAUCUGUUCUUGACUUUUUUUUUUUUUUAUGGAUUUGACAAAGCAGGCCCCCAUUGUGAAUGAGGUGGGUAGGGCCUGAUAGCUACCCCUCCAUCCUGAACAUCAUCGGAUCCCUAACAUCAACCUGAUGCUCACCUACCACAAGCUGGUCCUAUAGUUUCAAGGUCCUGCAAACCACAGAGCUAAACAUCUAAGGGCUCCUUCUGCAGGUGGCCUGGGCCUGACCACUCGGUGGAGACCUGUCACAAAGCAGAAUUUCUUACUGUGGCAUGUGACCUCCUAAGCAGCAGGCUGGGGGGCAGGGAGGGGGGAGGGGGAUUGUCCAGCCAUCUCCCAGACUUCUAGACAGGGCAUUGUACAUGGUAUGCAAAGCCCUUGGGGGAGACGAAUGUGUCCUUAGAAACAGUCUUUGCAAACUAGUGUGGUAGCUCAUACCUGUAUUCCCAGCAACUGAGAACCUGAGAUAGGAGGAGUGCCAUGAGUUCAAGGCCAACUUGGGAUACAGAAUGAGAUCCUGUCCCAAACAAACAAGAAAACAAAAAAAGCUCCUCCACCUCCCCACACACACACAAUCAAAUUUUAUUCAGACUGUUCUUUGCAUCUAUAGUUUGUUUAAAUAUUGAUCACAAAACAUUUAGAAAAUAAAGUGAACUCCUGGAGGUCUGCUUUCAUUGAAAGAUAUAGAUUUCUGUGUUUACCUGGGAAGAGACCCACAUACCCUCCCAUCUUCUUUCCGUGACAAGUGUGCAAAAUUUUGUUUGCUGACACAGAAUUAUCACAGGCAUGUGCAGUAUGCCCUUAGCUCUGCAGUCUGGGGGGCUAGGAAUUAAGGUUCACUUGGUUCACGGCUGUGGAGGUAUCUUCCCAAGUGACGGUUUCAGGCUGUACUGUCACCUAGUGCCAGCAUAUAUGACAAAUGAGCCACUUUCCUUCUUUUUGUAACUUCAUAGUUACGAUGUCCCAGCCUCAAAAUCUCACCUAGUAUUGCCUGCUUUCCACAGGCCCCACCUCCAAAUACCACCACUGUAAGAAUUUGGGGAUGUUUCAGACCCAUCAACUUCUGGGAGACACAUUCAAUCAAUAUCAAUAUUGUCAUGUCAGUUUUGCAUGCUUUAAACUUCAUGUAAGCAAAGUCAUGUUAUUCUAGACUUACAUCUUCCCUGCUACCAUUCUCCUGACACAUGGCUCUUGCAGCCAUUCCCAGCUUUGUAAAGCCUCCAGAUCACAGGUUGAUGCCUUGUUUAGACUCUCCACACUGUGUCUCCUGUUCCCUCUUGCUAGUUAGUCCACCUGCCCACAGAUGCCUCCAACUCACUGCAGACAGCACCUGCUGCUACCAGCAUGUUCACCUCCUACCCCCUCAACCUGGCUACUCCCUCCAUGGCCCUGUUCACACUACACACCAGUAUGCCACACCCCUGAUUGGAGGGGGGUGUCCUUCUGUAUGCUGUGAAUAUAUGCUUCUCUUAUUGGUUGAUGAAUAAGCACUGAUUGGCCAGUAGUCAGGCAGGAAGUAUAGGCAGGGCUACCAGCCUAGGAAAGUUCUGGGAAGAGAAAGGCAGAGAGGAGCUACUCUAGAGACGCCAUGUAGCUGCCAAAGGAGUAACAUGCCGGAGCAUUACAGGUAAGCCACAGCCUUGUGGCAAUACAAAGUUUAAUAGAAACGGGUUAAUAAUUAAGAAAGAGCUAGCCAGUAAGAAGCCUGAGUCAUUGGCCAAAUAGUUUACAAUUAAUAUAAGCCUCAGUGUGUUUAUUUAGGACUGAAGGGCGGCGGUGGGACCAGGCUGCACAGAAACUGUCUCUACACACCCCAUCACACAUAAACACAUGCACACACAUGUACAUGUGUUCUGUAUGUUCUGAGAUGCAAACAAUGACUGGUGGCAAGUAGUCUUGCCUGGACUUAAGCCUGCACAUGGGAAUUGAGCUGAGGUUUCUCCUCCCCUGAAGAAUGUCAGUUCAAGACAGCAUUUCUCUCUCUCAUAUUUUCAGGGAAAACCAGUUCCAGUUCUACCCCCCAAAAAGUAUUCUUGCAGCUCCUUUGCAUGUAUAGGUUUCAGUGACAUACUACAGCCGCCACAGUCUAGCCAUGUUUUGAGAAACUGGGGGCUAGUACUAAACACAAUAAUGCCAUCUUUUCACUACUAGAGGUAGAAAGCAAGUGCCAUCCACGUGCCUACAUGUAGAGAUACGAUGUGGGAUUAUGUGAAUAUUGAAUUCUCAAGCCUACAGCACAGGAAGCCCACCACCCACUCUCCUUCUCUGUGCUCAGUGCAUAGUCUCUACUGGCCCCGAACUCCACAGGAAUUAACAAGAUUAGAUUUACUUCUACACAGGCUGUGAGGGAUUUUCUUGAUUAGGGGAGUGUCAGGGGCCUAUAAAGAUGGCUCCACUCCAUCUUAAAAGUCAGACAGUUCAAAACUGUCCUUACUAAGUCUUAAGACCUAAAGGUCUAAGGCAUGGCUACAAUAGGAUGUUUGAUUUUGUCCCUGGGUAUCUUACCUAAAUAUCAACAGACUUGUUAGAAGGUGUGGUUAUUCCUGACCCUCAAGGCCUGAUAAUGAGAAAUUAAAUAUAAGGUGUAGUUAUCAAAUUCUUGGAGAAUUUAGGGAGAAAAUCUGUUUGUCCCAUCCAUAUACAUGAUACCAUGUUCCCCCUUUCGGUUAAGGUAUUUAAGAAUGGUGAAAAAUUAAUUCAGCAUGGUCAGUAUUGACUGAAUCUGCCCUCCUGAUUGUAUUCCAGUGUCUCUGUCUUUCUUUUAACAUCUUUAGCUCACAUUUUCUUUAUCCACAUUCAAACUCUCAGUACGAACCAUGGGCGAGUCAGCUGGCUCCAACUGCAGCCCUGAAAGACAGCUUCCCACAAGGGAGACCCACCCUAAUGUGAGUGGCACCUUCCAACAGUAGCCCAGAUAGGAGUAAGUCCAUUUUGUGCUGUUGCCUGCCCUGCUUGGGAGUUCAUCUGUCCGACUGCCACCAUACUUCAUGGAUGUCCGAACCUAGAUUCUUUAGCCUCCCCAUGGAAACUGAAGACCAGUAGCUCUCCAGGAAUCCUCCAGCAAUAUAUUGGGACUGCUGGGACAUCCAGGGUUGAAU
rnacentral:lncRNA from 1 species